CUGGGUCGGGGCGGAUUCUCGGGUCCUUGGGAAGGAGCUGUAAAGUCCAGCAGUUGGUGGAGGAGUAUCCCGGACGGGCAUUCCUGGCCGAGGGUUCUGAGUGGAGAAAAACGGAAAGUCCUUUUUCCUUCAUUUGACACAUCUUAUUCGCUCUAUCAAUGACCCGGAGCAUCCGCUGACACUAGAAGAAUUGAACGUAGUAGAGCAAGUUAGGGUUCAGCAUCACUGCAGCUGUCAACUUGAGGGA